rnacentral:rRNA from 1 species
CGGAGCAUGUGGUUUAAGUUCGAAGCAACGCGAAGAACCUUACCAAGACUUGACAUCCCCUGACAGCUGUUGAAAGGCAGUGUCUCUUCGGAGCAGGGAGACAGGUGGUGCAUGGUUGUCGUCAGCUCGUGUCGUGAGAUGUUGGGUUAAGUCCCGCAACGAGCGCAACCCUUAUCCUUAGUUACCAGCACGUAAAGGUGGGGACUCUAGGGAGACCGCCGGGGACGACUCGGAGGAAGGUGGGGACGACGUCAAAUCAUCAUGCCCCUUAUGUCUUGGGCUACACACGUGCUACAAUGGCCGCAACAGAGGGAAGCGAGAGCGCAAGCUGGAGCAAAACCCUAAAAAGCGGUCCCAGUUCGGAUUGUGGGCUGCAACCCGCCCACAUGAAGUCGGAGUUGCUAGUAAUCGCGAAUCAGCAUGUCGCGGUGAAUGCGUUCCCGGGCCUU